UCUAAUCUCAAAACCUUCAUGUGUAAUUUUCUAUUCUAUGAUUAAUUUCUUUCUUUCUUGGGUUUCUUGUUAAUCAACCUAUCAGUUUGGAUUCUUUUCUUAUUAUUGGUUUCUUUCUGAAAUUGGGCAUGUUCUGUAUUGAUUAAUUUUCCUCAAAUAUGUAUUUCUUUGCUAAAUUUCAGUGGAUUGGGUUUCAUUUCAUAGAUGUUAGUGUCUUUUCUGUGUGAUAUACCAUCAACUAUUUAAACUUAAAAGAUCAAGUUUUACUCUUAUUAUGGUAUGCUCAAUUGGGUGCUUGCUGUUAGCAUUAAUUUGUUUAUUUAACUUAAUUCUAAUUUUUAUUUCCAUGUUUGUUGACUAUCACCUGAAUGGGCUUCAGAAAUUUUCUUUUUCUUUCUUUUUUUUUUGGUUGCCGAUAGAAAAGAGAAGAUCCAGAAAAUUACUACAGGACAGGGUUCUUGUUAUAUAAUUCUUGCAGCACUAUAGCUGUCUUGCUACAGGUUUGAAAUAUAUUGGUGUUGUUUUCUGGGUUAGGGUUAAAUUGUCAUUUUCAAGUGAUAAUUUUGAAGAUUGAAAGUGGAGAGAAGAGAACCACAAUAACCUGUAUUUGGAGAGGGUGUAGAUAAAAUGCAGGCCCAUGUGAUUCCCAGGUGGGAAAGGUAGGCAUCAUUGUCACUUAGAUCUCCUUGGCCACAAAUUUGAUGAGUGUACACCAUCAUUUGAUGGCCCACCCCACCCCACCCAACCCCCAACCCACUUAGGCAGAAAUCUGCCUAUUAGUCUGGUCUAUUAUAUGUGAUUUGUCUUUUCAAGCCUAUUGGAUCAUAUAAUUAGUUUCUCCAACUUUUAUUUUUUAUAUUUUACACAAAGUAAUUACUUGUCUUCUGUCCUAAAAAAAAAAAAAUUACGUGUCUUCUUGUUAUAGGGCAGUUUGAGAGAAUAAAUCUCAACCAAUUGUCAAAUUAUUAACCCAUUGCCAACCCACAAAACCUCAAAAUCCACAGGUUGGUUCAAGUAUUUUGGCAGUUCAGGUUGGUAGAUUGUAAAUUUUAACACAUUUUAUUAACAUAUUUAAGUUCUCAAAUAUUAAAUGUAAUUAUGAAACUACAAAAUCAAAACUAAAAACAAAAAAAAAAUGUUUGAUAAUAUACAUGUGCCCAAAAAACAUGUAAAUUAAUAGAUAAUUUUGAGAUGGUGAGAGUGGAGGAGGGAGCAAUGCCCCACCUUCAAACUCUAGUUAUCACAAAUAGUGAAUUGGUAGAGGAGGUCCCCUCCGGUAUCAAACAUCUAACCAACCUUCAAAUGUUUAGACUUUUUGAUAGCUGUAAGAAAUUGAUUAUGAAGUUAGAUUGAGAAGAACAAGGCGGGGAUUACUGGAAAAAAUCACACAUCCCUCAAGUUGUAAUUGAGAACUCAAACAAGGUCAAAGGGAGUAGCUGGGAGAGCUGGUAAAUGUUCUUACAGAAGCUGAGUAAUUUUUCCCUUCCUACUGCCCUUGUAAACUUUGCUACUCAUUUCAAGGGAAAAAAAGAAAAGAAAAAGAUAAGUGUGCUUUUCUUUUCUACUUAUUUUUUAUUUAUAGGAUUAUAGAGGGAGGGAGGUAGCAGGAUGGUUCUUUAAAGUGUCUCUGGUGUUUGAUGUAUAAUUUCCCGAAGCUUGAUGAUACAUAAUCUUAAAUCUGAAGCUGAACACAAGUCGAUUAUGUUGGGCCACCAGCAAACAUGUUUAUUGGAUGAUUGCAAAGUUAAACUUGUCCGGAACUUUUGACUCACACUAUUACAAAAAUAGAUAAAGAUCACACUUU